rnacentral:rRNA from 1 species
UACGAAGGGGGCUAGCGUUGCUCGGAAUCACUGGGCGUAAAGGGUGCGUAGGCGGGGCUUGAAGUCAGGGGUGAAAUCCUGGAGCUCAACUCCAGAACUGCCUUUGAUACUGAAGAUCUUGAGUUCGGGAGAGGUGAGUGGAACUGCGAGUGUAGAGGUGAAAUUCGUAGAUAUUCGCAAGAACACCAGUGGCGAAGGCGGCUCACUGGCCCGAUACUGACGCUGAGGCACGAAAGCGUGGGGAGCAAACAGG